UACGUAGGGUGCGAGCGUUAAUCGGAAUUACUGGGCGUAAAGCGUGCGCAGGCGGCUUUGCAAGACAGAUGUGAAAUCCCCGGGCUCAACCUGGGAAUGGCAUUGGUGACUGCACGGCUAGAGUGUGUAAGAGGGGGAUGGAAUUCCGCGUGUAGCAGUGAAAUGCGUAGAUAUGCGGAGGAACACCAAUGGCGAAGGCAAUCCCCUGGGCCUGUACUGACGCUCAUGCACGAAAGCGUGGGGAGCAGACAGG
rnacentral:rRNA from 1 species